UACGGAGGGUGCAAGCGUUAUCCGGAUUCACUGGGUUUAAAGGGUUCGUAGGUGGGAAUGUAAGUCAGUGGUGAAAUCUCCGUGCUUAACAUGGAAACUGCCAUUGAUACUAUGUUUCUUGAAUCUUCCGGAGGUCAGCGGAAUAUGUCAUGUAGCGGUGAAAUGCUUAGAUAUGACAUAGAACACCAAUUGCGAAGGCAGCUGACUACAGGGGCAUUGACACUGAGGCACGAAAGCGUGGGGAUCAAACAGG
rnacentral:rRNA from 1 species